UUUUUAAACGUAAGAGAAAAACCCAGUCAGGAGGAUGUCCUGUCCCUCGGCCGUCUUACGCGUCGUGUCCUGACUCAGACCAGGCCCGCCUCCGCUGCCGGCCACACGACUCGCUGCUCUCUGCUUCCACAGCUUUGCUGUGCUCUCGCACAGGUGAAAGAUGACUUAUCAGCUGAAAUACCUGUCGCUGCGGGCCCGAGGCGAGCCCGUGAGGUGGAUUCUCAAAGCAAUUGGCGUCGACUACAGGGAGGAAACCAUCGACAUCUUCAAGGAGUGGCCCAGCCGUAAACGCGAAUUCCGGUUCGGGAAGGUGCCAGUUCUCGAGGUCGACGGAGAGCAGCUCCACCAGACGACCGUCAUCUGCAGGUUCCUGGGGGAAAAGCACGACCUCGUCUCGCGGGACCUUUGGACGACCACCCGCCAGAUGGAGGUCGUCGAGGCUCUCCACGACCUCACAAACAACAUGGCGAGCGCCUUGUUGGGCAGAGUGCAAAGGAACGAGGAGAAGCAGAGGGCGAUGGUGGGGCUCGCAAAGGCCCAGUUCCCAGUGGUCAUGGGCAACAUCGAAGGCAGGAUAACCGACCAAGGAUGGAUCCUGUCACAACAGAUGACUUGGGUCGACGUGUUCGUAGCAGCUUAUCUGGAUGUGUACGAGAAUUACUUCCCAGGUGUAGUGGCCAAGUUCCCUCUUUGCGAGGCACUCCGGGGCCGCGUUCAGGAAAUGCCAGCUAUCAAGACGUGGCGACAAGAGAGACCAGCGUGGCACCCUUUUGAGGACCCCGAGGGCUUGGUGUCGCCUGAGGGUGGCUCGUAGUAGAUGCAUGCAGUGUUCCAGUGUUAAGACCUACACGGAAUAAAAAAGUAACCCUGCCUUGGAAGAUUCUCUGUGUGUAUAUAUGCACACACACACACACACACACACACACACACACACACACACACACACACACACACAUAUAUAUAUAUAUAUAUAUAUAUAUAUAUAUAUAUAUAUAUAUAUAUAUAUAUAUAUAUAUGCACUGUGCUUUAUAUAUACAUACUAGUCUCCGUGUUUGGAAAUGUGUAUGUAUUAUUUGUCAGCCUGUUUGUUUUGAAACCAUACGACGAAACAGUUUAAGAAUGAUAAGUUUAUUGACCUGCCGGAAAUCCAUCCUGUUUACAGUCGAGGCAGUGAUUCCGUCGUCAGUGGAACAGUUUAAAAGGGAGCAGUUUCCAAAUGAACAGGGAGAAAUAUCUGAGCGCAGAAGCGAAAGCUAUUUUCAAGACACAGCUCCUUGCACCUCCCUCAGUGUCAGUUUAUCUAUUAUUAUUUUACCUAUCGAGAUCUAUCAGCCUAUUCAUCUAUCUUAUUCAUGUCAUUUACUUCCUAACAUGUUUACCCAAGGCAUUUGCUUUUCAUCAUAACAUAUUUUCUCAUAUUCUUUGAUUUGAAUAUUUUUUUGUAAAAUGUCUGGGUCCAGAGAUUUAGUUUAUCUUCUUAAGCUAAUGGAAAUAUAGCGCAUACAUGGAACAAAUAACUUAGAAAUGGACCCGAAUACAUACGUAUAUAAACAUACAUACAUACACACACACAUAUAUAUAUAUAUGUAUAUAUAUAUAUAUAUAUGUGUGUGCGUGUGUGUGUAUGUGUGUAUGUGUGUGUGUGCGCGCGCGUGUGUGUGUGUGUAUUGUGAAAUCAUGAUGUUCUAUAUGUAGUUUAUAUGCAUAACCUGGAAAGAAUUCUGUAUCACACUUAUUUUUGUUAUAUGUAUGAAAAAAUGCUAAUCCAUAAUUUUAAAAUGUAGAGUCCGUAGCCACUUCAGGCGGAAACAUCUGGACUAAACAUAGAUGAAAUCAUACCCAUACUCA
rnacentral:misc_RNA from 1 species